rnacentral:misc_RNA from 1 species
AGCAUUUACGAUGGGCCUCCUGCCAGAACAUUGAGAGCCCAAAGGGCCUUUUGCACAUACGACGAUCUUUACUCCCACCUAAGAUCUGAAUGCAGUUUCAAGAGAUAUAACACUCUGGUGAGAAGUUCUCAACGCUUGAUUCCCUUCAUCUUCUCUUUCUCUAAUUCUACCUGGUUCAUCAUGCUGCUGUAGAUUUGACAAGAAUAAAUUUUGAUCAUAAUAAAUCACGAGAUUAAAAGCACAUAUAAUAAGAAUAGGUGAAAUAAUUGAAUCAAUGGUAUAAAGGAGAGUGGAGGCCAUGAUUGUAGAUGUGUGGCUCUCUAUCGCGGGCUAUUGGGGCUCAUAUGGCCCAAUUUCUGAGGUAAGACGUUAACAUCCUCAUAUUUUCCCUCGAAAACUGAUCUACUGCCCAUCUCCUCUCCAAUCUCUGCACUCAACAAUUCUUCCCAGAAUUCAUCAUACAGUUCUUCCGUCUCUUCACGUUCUUCCUCCUUGAUCUUCUCAAACUGCAUUUCUGGUGCUAUAUUUUCCAACUCUGCGACUUCAUACGCAAUCGAGUCUCGCAUAUUGUCGCCUUGAAUCCCGAAAGUUGUUUGGAAAUCUGAAACCAGGCUUGUUCCCCUAUCACCACAAGGACCAGUACCUAUCGGGAGUCUCCUUUUCUUAUUAAUGGUUUCUUGAAUAUCUUUCAUCCAGUCCUGCUGCUCGACUAAUUGCUGUAAGAAAUUAGGGUUGUGCAUUGCUCGUGCUAGGAAUGUCA